rnacentral:lncRNA from 13 species
UCUUUUAUGGCGGUUUGCUGACAUUUCUCACUUUGGUGUCGUAUUUAAAUUGAACAUGUCUUUUGAAAUUACACUACGUAAGCUGUUUGAAGCGUUGAUGUCAUCAUCUUCAGCCUCCUGGAAUUUGCGGUAUCAAUUUGCAGAUCUUUUCAUCAAAAGUAUAUAGUGUAUGGAUGUUUUGAGUACGUGUAUAAAAUCUGAGAUGCAAAAAUAUUACUCUAAAAUUAAGAAGAAAUGGGAGGAUUCUAAUUAAAAAAAAACGUUUUAUGGAAAAUAAUUCAAAUUGGCUCGAUACUAUUAUUACAAUUUCAAUCCCAGGUAAUAAUUCUAUAUCAUCUCAAUUAAAUCGAAGUCUUCGACCGCAAAAAAAAUUCGGAUUGUACAGUGAACGAAGUAAGAAGCGGAAAAUUAGUGAAAUUUAUAACAAAAAUAAUACUGAACGGUUAAUAUAUGCUGCAGAAAAGAGUUUACGUUUAGAUGGAAAAUUCGAAGAGGCAAAAUUGAUAAAGGAAGCAAUUAUGACAACGCCUUCACACUCAAAAAAAAUUAAUGAGACUUAAAGUGUUGCUAAGAAAAAUAAUACCGUCAUUUCUUAUAAACCUGUAGAAGCAUUAGCUCUGAUAAUUGAAGCUGGAUUAACAAAAUACUCUUAUCAAGUAUUAAGGACUCAAGCAAAAUCUCGUGGAGCAGAUAUUUAUCCUUCUUAUAAAAAAAUACGUAAAGCUAAAACAGAAUGCUAUCCAUCAAAAGAAUCUAUCCGUAUAACAGAGACAAAAUCAGAAAUUGAAUUGCAGGCAUUAUUAGAUCUCACUGUUCGUCGAAUAGUUCAGCUACAAUUCAAAGUUUUACUGCAAAUGCCAGAGAACAUAUGUAAUAAUUUACACUUAAUCUCAAAGUGGGGCUGUGACGGAAGUAGUUGUCAUUUGCUUUAUAAACAAAUCUUCACGGAUUCACAGCAACCGCAAUCGGACGGCAAUUUAUUUAUGACCUGUUUAGUGUCUCUUCAACUUUAUGUUCUUUCAAAAGUGAGUGCAAAGAAGAUAAUUUUGUUGCAAAAUCCUCGGCAUUCCUCUACCCGAUAUUGCAGAGCAAUAAAGUUAAAAUUUGUGAAAGAAACUGCGGAAAUAAUACGGAUGGAAAAGAAAAACAUGGACACAAAAAUUAAUGAAUUAGUCGCAUCAAAAAUAGAUAUUCCAGGCAUCUCUCACUUAACUGUCCAUCAUGAUUUAUGCAUGACAAUGAUUGAUGGGAAGACACGUAAUGCCUUAACUAAUACUAAUUCGUCGCAAAAAUGUAACAUGUGUGGUGCUACUCCUGCGGACAUGAAUGAUGUCGAUAAAGUAAUGAGAAGAUAAAUUGAUAGAAGCGUCUACGAAUUUGAUCUUUCAACUCUACAUGCUUACAUUCGAUUUUUUGAAUGGUUAUAUCACGUUUCAGUAAAAUUGGAUACAAAGUUGUGGCAGAAGACAGAACAUACGAAGGCUCAGAUAGAUGCUAGAGAAACAUAUAUUAAGGAUCGUUUCCACUCUGAAAUGGAUUUGCCCGUUGGCAUUGUUAUUCAGAGAAAAGGCACAACGCACGAUGAAAAUUUAGCUCCUUAUUGGAAUGUUAAGCGAAGAAGCCCAAAAAUCGCGUAACAAAGAUUUCAGGGCAUCCCGUGAGAAAUUUACUCGGAAAAUGUCAAGAGUUGUGACGAACGACGAUUUAAUGCAUAUCUUUCUGAUAUCCACAGAUUCAAUAAAAUCUUCGAGUUUACUUCCUGCAAGAAAAGGAUGUGAAUUCAAAAGGAUUUGAAUUCAAAAAUUUCUGCUUUUCUUAACCCAGAAAAUAACAAACAAAUUACUAAGUCAAAUGACGACGAAUAAAUGUUACUGGAUAGUAUUAAUACAUUAAGAAAAUAUAUUGAUAUGUCUACAAGUCAACUGGAACCGUAUGUCAUGGAAAAUUCGAUGAAGAAAAGGUUUUGUCCACUAAACUAGUAGUUUGGUCCCACGGUACGCCGCCGCCGCCGCUGCCAAUGCAAUUAAACAAGCCGCUGCCGAAUAUCUCGGUAGUCACGUGACGGUGUGCGAAUCAUGCGAAUAGUGGACCUGGACAUCAUGCAUCUCGUGUCACGUACGGAAAACCACUGAUUACUGCGAGUUGUAUACAUGCGCGUGCAUAUGCGUAUGUAUAUUUUCAGCAACCACUUGCCAGGCAAGAAUUGACAAUCGUUACAUACACAACUCGCACGCAGCGUUUCUCCUCGCAGGACAAGUGCAUGAAGUCUGGGCCAAAAAAA